ACGAACGCUGGCGGCGUGCUUAACCCCUGCAAGUCGCACGGAAAGGCCCUGCUUUUGUGGGGUGCUCGAGUGGCGAACGGGUGAGUAACACGUGAGUAACCUGCCCUUGACUUUGGGGUAACUUCAGGAAACUGGGGCUAAUACCGGAUAGGAGCUCCUGCUGCAUGGUGGGGGUUGGAAAGUUUCGGCGGUUGGGGAUGGACUCGCGGCUUAUCAGCUUGUUGGUGGGGUAGUGGCUUACCAAGGCUUUGACGGGUAGCCGGCCUGAGAGGGUGACCGGCCACAUUGGGACUGAGAUACGGCCCAGACUCCUACGGGAGGCAGCAGUGGGGAAUAUUGCACAAUGGGCGGAAGCCUGAUGCAGCAACGCCGCGUGCGGGAUGACGGCCUUCGGGUUGUAAACCGCUUUCGCCUGUGACGAAGCGUGAGUGACGGUAAUGGGUAAAGAAGCACCGGCUAACUACGUG
rnacentral:rRNA from 1 species